CGGCGCCGCGCGCCAAUGCACCACUUGCGCGGGGGUCGGGGGAGGAAGGGCAGCUCGCCCCGCGGAGUCCGGGCUGAACCACACUGCGCGGCCGCGGGAGGUGCCGUGGCAAUCCGGCCCUCCAGAGACCGUUCAGCUAUCUUGAGCCGCUAGAGCUAGGAGAAAAAUGCAGACGCGAGGAGACGUGGGGGAUUGCUCUUCCUUGUUUGAUGUGGGAGAAAAAGCGACUGGGGCUUGCUGGACCCGCUCCCCUGUGCGGUGACAUGGCACCUCCCUUCCGACCGUUGGCCGGGAUAGCUUUCCCGGAGGUCGCGUCCCCCAGCGGAGGCGGCGGGAAUCGCGGAGGUUUUGUGCUGCGGCUGGGGUCUUUCUGGCCGUCCCGCCUCUAGAUGCCGGGUGGCAGGGAGCCGGUGGCGGUCGGCCAUGUGAAGGUGGCCAUCUUGGCCGGCCAGCGAGGGCUCCUCACGGCCUUCCUUCGGCGUCCCUGCCCGGCUCGUUGCCGGCCCCGGGAUAUCUGAGGGGCGCAGGCCCACCUUCUAGUCGUUUCCUGGUGAAUGGCUCUGCUGAAGAUGGCCGGAAAGCAGAUUAAUGAAGGUGCUGCCAUCGAUUUAAACAAUCGCCCUCCUGCCCGCUCCCCUGCGCUAAAGUUUCUGAGGGAUCCUCACCCUUCGUGGUUCGUGGACUUAAAAGUGGAGGCAGCGCUCCAGCCUUUCCCUCCAGAGAGAAAGGAGGCCGCUCCCAAGUCCGUCCUUGCCCCGUGGCCUUCCUGUUCCUUUGAAGGGGGGGGGAAUCGAUGUUUCAAUCCUCUGUUCAGGAGAAUAUGGAACGAACAUUUCUUUUUUGGUGGGUGGGGGCUAUUCGUUCCCUUGAAUGUGCUUAAGCAGAUCUCUUGACGGCGUGGAAUGGGCUGUUUCAUGAAGCUUUCACUUUAAAAUGUCCACCUGCGUUUGUCCCAGUUUUGCCCAAUAAAGGAAUUACAGGGAAAAAGAGCGAAACAAAACUUGAGCCAGCAAGGAGUAUGGAGUCCCGUUUGGAGGGAGCCCGCCUUGGGGGCGGGGGUCUCUGCAGCCUGUUCUGGGGCUGGGCCUCGGUGCAGGUCUGGUCGGGCUGGUGGCCUGGUGGCCCUGAGCGGAGCGCGUGACAAGAACGCCGGGUUUAAUGAGGUUCUCAGGGAACGGCCUGCUCCUAGCAUGGGAUGUACUUUACGCUGGGGAGGUGAAGGAGACCCCUAGUAACAGUCUCCAGCUGCCUACUGCUGGCGGCAGUAGAACAAGGUGCAUUCCCAAGAACAAUCCUCUCCGUCGGUGCAGGAGGAAAGGUGGGAUUUGCUAAAGGCUCAGUGGGAAACAAAGGAAGCACUUGGGCUGUGCUGGGGGCAUCCACAAAGAAGAUAAAGGGCUCCUCCCCAGACUCAGUGACCACAUCCACGGUCGCUCAAAGCAGGCAGCAAGAAAAGGUUCGACCACAAAAGAGACAAUAGAUGAAGAAACUGGCAUGUUAUUCGUCCAUGUCACACAUCAAAUCAGUAGUGGAGCUAGGGCCUUGAGCCUGGUCUGACCUCUAAAUUCAUGCCCCUUCUUAUAGCCAAACAAUAAAUACUGCAUACUCCCUGAGGUCGUUAAUAUUAACAAUUUGGUUUAUAUCCUCCCUUUCCUUUUUCUGUGAACACACACACGCACACAUCUUACUAUUCAGAGAAACAUGGAUUUUUUUUUUCUUAACAAUUUUCAUGACUGUCUCUCCAGGAUACUAUGUAGAGCUGUAAAUCAUUUCCUUCUCUUUUACUGUGGGAAAAUAUAUACAACAUAAAAUAGGUAGCUCACCAAGGAGAAAAUGCAAAUUGCAAUAAACAUAUGAAAA
rnacentral:lncRNA from 1 species